rnacentral:tRNA from 1 species
GAAGGGUUUCAACUGAACUGCUAAUUCUCAUACCUGAAAAUAAAACCUCAGACCCUUCA